UACGAAGGGGGCUAGCGUUGUUCGGAAUUACUGGGCGUAAAGGGCUCGUAGGCGGCCAACUAAGUCAGACGUGAAAUCCCUCAGCUUAACUGGGGAACUGCGUCUGAUACUGGAUGGCUUGGAUUCGGGAGAGGAAUGCGGAAUUCCAGGUGUAGCGGUGAAAUGCGUAGAUAUCUGGAGGAACACCGGCGGCGAAGGCGGCCAUCUGGACGAGGACUGACGCUGAGAUGCGAAAGCGUGGGGAGCAAACAGG
rnacentral:rRNA from 1 species